rnacentral:rRNA from 1 species
AUUGAACGCUGGCGGCGGGCCUAACACAUGCAAGUCGAACGAGUGGCGGACGGGUGAGUAAUGUCUGGGAAACUGCCUGAUGGAGGGGGAUAACUACUGGAAACGGUAGCUAAUACCGCAUACCAUCGGAUGUGCCCAGGUGGGAUUAGCUAGUCGGUGGGGUAAAGGCUCACCUAGGCGACGAUCCCUAGCUGGUCUGAGAGGGUGACCAGCCACACUGGAACUGAGACACGGUCCAGACUCCUACGGGAGGCAGCAGUGGGGAAUAUUGGACAAUGGGCGAAAGCCUGAUGCAGCCAUGCCGCGUGUGUGAAGAAGGCCUUCGGGUUGUAAAGCACUGUCAUCGGGGAGGCGUUAUCUGCAGAAGAAGCACCGGCUAACUCCGUGCCAGCAGCCGCGGUAAUUC